rnacentral:lncRNA from 1 species
GCACCUGCACAGAACUAGGGCACCCCACCUGUGUGGAGCACUCGCCGUCCUGUCGUGAGCCUGGGGGGCAGCGGUGGCCUGGCAUGGACCCGGGCACACUGACCCUGCCCCGCACCCCAACGGUGGCCAGGAAUUUUCUGGAGCCACAGGGCCCUGCCAUAGAAGGUCAGACUCUUGGUCUCCAUCCAUCCCCAGCACGAGGUCUGUGCAGAGAGUGAGGGCACUGCCUCUUCUAGACCUCCUUGUCUGGCCACGCGUGCCCUUUCCCCAGCUGUUCCUGUUCCUCCAGCUGCUUCUGUGCCUUCCCUCACACUGUUUUCUUGAGAAACACACAAGCAUUUGCUCCUUUCCGGUCUCUACUCAUUAAAGGCCUUUCAUUCCCCAAGCACUCAGAGAGACUUCCUCUGAGCAGCCCCCUCCAGCCCACCCAGUGGCCACUACACCCACUGCCUGCGUCCUGCUGUGUCCCCCAAGGCUGGGGUGAGACUCUCACAUGUCUCACAUAAGGAAGGAGGGAAAGAGGGAGAGAGGGAGGAAGGGAGGGAAGGAGGGAGGGAGGGAAGGACGGAGGGACAGAGAAUAGGAAGGAGGAAGGGAGGAGGGAGGGAGGGAAGGAGGAAGGGAGGGAAGGAGGGAGGGAGGGAAGGAGGGAGGGAGGGAAGGAGGGAGGGAAGGGGGAAGAAGAGAGGGAAGGAAAGAAGGAAGGAGGGAGGGAGGGAGGGGAAGUUCCUCCACAAACCAGCCACCUCCCCCCAUCAC